rnacentral:rRNA from 1 species
GCUUACGGCCAUACCACCCUGAACACGCCCGAUCUCGUUUGAUCUCGGAAGCUAAGCAGGGUCGGGCCUGGUCAGUACUUGGAUGGGAGACCCCCUGGGAAUACCAGGUGCUGCAAGCU